ensembl:lncRNA
GCUGACCAGUGACCAGAUCUUACAGCUCCUAGAUAGGUAUGUUACAUAUCAGCUGACCAGUGACCAGAUCUUACAGCUCCUAGAUAGGUAUGUUACAUAUCAGCUGACCAGUGACCAGAUCUUACAGCUCCUAGAUAGGUAUGUUACAUAUCAGCUGACCAGUGACCAGAUCUUACAGCUCCUAGAUAGGUAUGUUGCUGACCAGUGACCAGAUCUUACAGCUCCUAGACAGGUAUGUUACAUAUCAGCUGACCAGUGAUCAGAUCUUACAGCUCCUAGAUAGGUAUGUUACAUAUCAGCUGACCAGUGAUCAGAUCUUACAGCUCCUAGAUAGAUAGGUAUGUUACAGAUCAGCUGACCAGUGACCAGAUCAUAUACUGUAAUAUGGUAAACUGAUGCCCAACUGCACAGUCAAUGAGGUGGCACGCAACCAUUGGUUGAUGCAAUGCAAUGCCUGCACAUCUAUUUGGGCAGGAUCUCGACCACCACUUCCUCCCAAAACAGCCCUAGAGCUCUACCC